CAAUAGCGUAUAUUAAAGUUGUUGCGGUUAAAAAGCUCGUAGUUGGAUUUCUGCUGAGAACGACCGGUCCGCCCUUUGGGUGUGUAUCUGGCUCUUUCUUGGCAUCUUCUUGGUGAACGUUGCUGCACUUGACUGUGUGGAGCGCUACCCAGGACUUUUACUUUGAGGAAAUUAGAGUGUUUCAAGCAGGCAUACGCCUUGAAUACAUUAGCAUGGAAUAAUAAGAUAGGACCUCGGUUCUAUUUUGUUGGUUUCUAGAGCUGAGGUAAUGAUUAAUAGGGAUAGUUGGGGGCAUUCGUAUUUAACUGUCAGAGGUGAAAUUCUUGGAUUUGUUAAAGACGGACUACCGCGAAAGCAUUUGCCAAGGAUGUUUUCAUUGA
rnacentral:rRNA from 1 species